CAGGAGGAGUAGUAGCACGAAUAAGCACCAACCACAAAAGUGGGUGAUAAAUCACAAAAUGUGCUCCAGAGGAAAUGCUUUUGUGGAACAGCGCUUUCAGCUGCACAAAUAAUCAUACAUGUUCACUGUUAUCACCUAGCGACGCUUCUCAGAAUUUAUAAUUGUAGGUCUCCGUCCGACUUCUCCUCCUGCUCCCUGUGGGUGGAGGAAGGACGCGGCGCUAAAUACAGCCCUUCGGACCCUGUGCCAUCGAGAAGGUUCUCGAUCCCCCCUCGCGCACAACUGGGACGGAGCUCGUGGGCACCUGGCGCUGCGCUCAUCAUGGGCAGGAGAAAGUCCGGCAAACGGCCCUUUUUUAGAAAGAGAAAGGCGGUGUUGAAGACAACCGAUGGGAAAGUCGCUUCUAUGAGACGUAGGAGGUGCAUUGAAGUGCAGGAAGUCCAGGAGGCGAAUGAAAGGGCAAAAUCCGUCACUGUGUUUUUGCGCACAGGGGAGGGGAAGUCGGUCCACAUGGCGUUCUGUUUCCAGCGGAAAAAAAAAAAACAAUUUUCUUGUUUUUAAAAAUAAUAAGCUCCAGGUACUGGAGUGUGAACUCCCCACUUCCAAUGAGUUCUUUUUCAAGUGGGGAGAAGAGAGUGGAAAGGCAAAGAGCCUGGUGUCCGUGGUCACUCCACAGGUGUACCUCAGCACCGCGGGCUCUGUGGUCACUGUGGGAACAGCGUUCGCUUCUGCUCCCCCGCUACUCUUUGACCUCACGUGGUUGGAUUAAGGGAGGUUUCUUUCUGAAUAAAUGUGCUUCUGCUAGAACACUUAACUUUAUCUUAUCGCAGCAAUGAAUUUCGCCUCAUGCCUGUUGCUUAUUUCUGCUGGCUUGGGGUUGAACCCGAGGCCACGUCAACAUGUUGUUCUUAUCUUGCUACAUUUGUUUCAGAUUACAAACCGUUUCAAUGUUUUACCAGAAAUUACUUGUUUUUUGCAGUUGGCGUGAGUGUUUGCUAGAUAUGAGUGCUGAUAGCACAGUGGUUAGAGUUACUCCCUAUAGACCCAAAGGUUGUAGGCUCAAGUAUC